rnacentral:lncRNA from 1 species
GUCCUGACUCCUACCCUGGUUUUCCGUGUUGCCACAAGGCAACAGUUCUACUAAUUCAGACCAGAUGUCUGCCUAGUCCAGUCUCGUGUUGCUAACAUUAAUCAAUAACAAAUUCUGGGGAAGAGAUUAGGGGAAAGCAUAUACUGAAACCUGUAGUUACUCCCUCCAGAACAUUCUCCCAGCCACCACUGAUUGUGGCUGAAGGACUUUUCUGAACCCACAUAAGCUUGUGCAAUUAAUUACUUCCAUGAAUACUUGCAGACUGGUUUUGAAUCUGUGUAAAUGUUUAGCAUUGACAGUGAUCUGUGUGUACUGAAUUCCAUUGAAAGAUCUCAAAGAGGUUCUGUGACUUCAAGGUAUGAAAUGAAGAAUAGUGUGUCAGAUCUGAAGUGGAGAGGGAAUGCAACAAUCCGUUUGGCUUUCCUGUCUUGGCUCAAGAUGGUGCAGAUUAAUUGUAACAUCUCAAUCAAAACAACAUGUAUAAUCUGAAAGCAGCAUUCUUAAAAAUGUUGUAACAUUUGAGUUACAUGAAGUUGAGUGCACUUGAAAGUUCUCUAAGCAACUGCUGAUAGAUGCAAUCUGGGCAACAUUUUGCAAGAAUAUUUAUUGAGAAUAUUCAACAUUAGCUUUAGAGGGCUUAUGAAAUUGACUGUAAGCAUGGGCCCAAUAUAGGGAGCUAAAAAGGAAGCUUGAAUGACAUACGUUUCUCAUGAACAUAUCUUCUCUCUCUCUCUCUCUCUCUUUUUUUUUUUUCUUUUUUUUUUUUGUGUGGAGUAGUUGAGGACAGAAUUGUAAGGUGGCAGAGUUGUUUAAACUUUUGUUGUUCUUUGACCAUGAACACAAAAAUGUUCCUUAUGUACCAAAUUACUGGACACAGUUGUUUGGAAGCUGGUAUUGUAUGUAUGAAAAGCACAGUUACUAUGAAGUAUGGUUGAGUGAAUAUGCUUCAAAUCCCUAUAUCAUUCCUCAAAGGACUGAUGAUACCGGUCUGUAACUAAAAGUUUUUCACAUGUAAUCACAAAAUCUUCAAUUAGCUGUUGUCCACUGAAUUCUGGGUUGCUUAAGCUUUUACUGUCUUGGAGACAGGAAUGAGAAAAAGUGUAUUUUGUCUUUGCAGAUGGAACAAUUUGCAUUCAGGAUUAGGUCACAAAAGAUAAACCAAAUAGUGCCAGUUUGUGGGUGAAUUAUAUAGCACAGAGGUCAUCAUUAGAUUUCCAAGUGUAUGAUUUGGAUAGCAUUUUGGCUGAUAUCCAUCAAAAUAACAUUGCUUAACUAACAUGACCAAUCUUCAAGCAGACUGAUUGAGUAAAAAAUUUAUUUCCUAAGGGGAACAGAAGCCCCAGGACGUGUUCUGGCAAGUCUUCAGUUGAUAGAAUAAAUUAUUAAGUACUCUUUGCA